GGAGCGUUGCCAGAGCGGUAAUGGAGCGGAUUGCUAAUCCGUCACGGCAGUAAUGUCGUGCAGAGGUUCGAAUCCUCUACGCUCCGCCA
rnacentral:tRNA from 1 species